UGUACAAAGGUAGCAUAAUCAUUUGUCUUUUAAUUGAAGUCUGGAAUGAACGGUUGGAUGAAAAACUUACUUUCUUUACUUUAGAUAAAAAAUUUGAUUUUUGAGUUAAAAAGCUUAAAUUUAAUUAUAGGACGAGAAGACCCUAUAGAACUUUAUUUUCUUUAUUGUAUUAAUUUUUUGGUAAAUAACUUUUUUUUAUUUUAUUGAAAAUUUUGUUGGGGUGACAAAAAAAAAUUAAUAACUUUUUUUAUUUGGUUCAUUUAUUUAUGAGUUUUUGAUCCUUUAUUAUGGAAGUAGGAUUAAGUUACCUUAGGGAUAACAGCGUUAUUAUUUUAGAGAGUUCUUAUCGAUAAAAUAGUUUGCGACCUCGAUGUUGGAUUAAAGUAAGCUACAGGGGCAGAACUUUGUUGGCUGGGUCUGUUCGACCUUUAAAUCUUUACA
rnacentral:rRNA from 1 species